AGAGUUUGAUCCUGGCUCAGGACGAACGCUGGCGGCGCGCCUAACACAUGCAAGUCGAACGAGCGAGAGAGAGCUUGCUUUCUCGAGCGAGUGGCGAACGGGUGAGUAACGCGUGAGGAACCUGCCUCAAAGAGGGGGACAACAGUUGGAAACGACUGCUAAUACCGCAUAAGCCCACGGCUCGGCAUCGAGCAGAGGGAAAAGGAGCAAUCCGCUUUGAGAUGGCCUCGCGUCCGAUUAGCUAGUUGGUGAGGUAACGGCCCACCAAGGCGACGAUCGGUAGCCGGACUGAGAGGUUGAACGGCCACAUUGGGACUGAGACACGGCCCAGACUCCUACGGGAGGCAGCAGUGGGGAAUAUUGCACAAUGGGGGAAACCCUGAUGCAGCGACGCCGCGUGGAGGAAGAAGGUCUUCGGAUUGUAAACUCCUGUUGUUGAGGAAGAUAAUGACGGUACUCAACAAGGAAGUGACGGCUAACUACGUGCCAGCAGCCGCGGUAAAACGUAGGUCACAAGCGUUGUCCGGAAUUACUGGGUGUAAAGGGAGCGCAGGCGGGAAGACAAGUUGGAAGUGAAAUCCAUGGGCUCAACCCAUGAACUGCUUUCAAAACUGUUUUUCUUGAGUAGUGCAGAGGUAGGCGGAAUUCCCGGUGUAGCGGUGGAAUGCGUAGAUAUCGGGAGGAACACCAGUGGCGAAGGCGGCCUACUGGGCACCAACUGACGCUGAGGCUCGAAAGUGUGGGUAGCAAACAGGAUUAGAUACCCUGGUAGUCCACACC
rnacentral:rRNA from 1 species